UACGUAGGUGGCAAGCGUUGUCCGGAAUUACUGGGUGUAAAGCGCGUGUAGGCGGGAGGCCAAGUCUGUGGUGAAAUCGCCUGGCUUAACUGGGCGGGGUCCAUGGAAACUGGUCACCUGGAGGUCGGUAGAGGCAAGUGGAAUUCCCGGUGUAGUGGUGAAAUGCGUAGAGAUCGGGAGGAACACCAGUGGCGAAGGCGGCUUGCUGGGCCGGACCUGACGCUGAGGCGCGAAAGCUAGGGGAGCAAACAGG
rnacentral:rRNA from 1 species